AAAGUGCACCCAGUUUUGGGG
rnacentral:miRNA from 1 species